AGGUCAAGUUACAAAGGGCGUAUGGAGGAUGCCACAGGCACUUAGAGCCGAAGAAGGACGCAGCCAGCGGCGAAACGCUCCGGGGAGUCGCAAGCAGACCGAGAUCCGGAGAUAUCCGAAUGGGGAAACCCGCUUAAGGCAAUACUUAAGCAUCUGCUGAUGAAUAAAUAAUCAGCAGAAGGGAAACCGCGUGAACUGAAACAUCUAAGUAACGCGAGGAAAAGAAAGAAAACAAUCGAUUCCCUGAGUAGUGGCGAGCGAAAAGGGAGAAGCCCAAACCGGUAUCACAGAUACCGGGGUUUAGGACCGCAAAAAGGAGUAUCUUUAACGAAGCCGAAGGGACCUGGGAAGGCCCGCCAAAGAAGGUGAAAGCCCUGUAGGCGAAAGGAAGAUACCCGAGUGGGAUCCAGAGUACCACAGGAUAGGCAACCCGGUGGGAAGACGGGAGGACCAUCUCCCAAGGCUAAAUACUACUAAGUGACCGAUAGCGCAUAGUACCGUGAGGGAAAGGUGAAAAGAACCCCGGGAGGGGAGUGAAACAGAACCUGAAACCAUAUGUCCACAAGCAGUGGAAGUCAAGCGAAAGCAGACGACCGCGUACUUUUUGUAGAACGGACCGGCGAGUUAUAGGUAUGCAGCGAGGUUAAGCGAGAGCGGAGCCGAAGCGAAAGCGAGUCUAAAGAGGGCGAAAGUUGCAUGCCAUAGACCCGAAACCGUGCGACCUACCCAUGAUCAGGGUGAAGCCGGAGUAAGAUCUGGUGGAGGCCCGAACCACGUUGACGUUGAAAAGUCAUGGGAUGAAUUGUGGGUAGCGGAGAAAUUCCAAUCGAGCACGGAGAUAGCUGGUUCUCCCCGAAAUAGCUUUAGGGCUAGCCUCAGGGUAGAAGAUAUGGAGGUAGAGCACUGAAUGGGAAAGGGGCCAGAAAGGCUACCGAACCCUAUCAAACUCCGAAUGCCAUAUCAAGACCUGGGAGUCAGACUGCGAAUGAUAAGAUCCGUAGUCAAAAGGGAAACAGCCCAGACCGACAGCUAAGGUCCCAAAGAGCAAGUUAAGUGGGAAAGGAAGUAGGAUAUCCAAGACAACCAGGAUGUUGGCUUAGAAGCAGCCAUACAUUCAAAGAGUGCGUAAUAGCUCACUGGUCGAGAAGUCCUGCGCCGAAAAUAAACGGGGCUAAAACAUGCCACCGAAGCUUCGGCUAAGCAGAGGUCAGAUGUGAGAGGUCAGAGGUGAGAAAAUGAUAAACACCUAUAAAGACUUAAAAAUAUAUCAGAAGUCAUACAAACUUAGCUUAAUAAUUCACAAGCUAACACAAAAAUAUCCUGAUUACGAGAAAUAUGAAUUAGCGAGCCAACUAAGAAGAGCUGCAACAUCAAUACCAUUAAAUAUUGCUGAAGGAUAUGGAAAGAAAGAAUCAGAAGCCGAUUUUAAAAGAUAUUUAAAGAUAGCACUUGGUUCAAGUAACGAAGUAGAAGUAUUAAUUGACUUAAGUUAUGACUUAGGAUAUAUUAACGAAAGAGCACAUAAGGAACUAUCAGAAGAAAACACAUCACUAAGGAAACAAAUAUACACACUGAUAAAGAAGUGGAAAUAAUUCUGAUAUCUGACUUCCGACAUCUGACUUCUGCGAAGGGUAGGGGAGCGUACUGUACAGGAAGAAGGCCAAGCGGAAGCGAAGCUGGACAGUACAGUAGAGAGAAUGCCGGUAUAAGUAACGAGAGUAAGGAGAGAAACCUUACCGUCGAAAGCCUAAGGAUUCCUGGGGAAGGGUAAUCCGCCCAGGGUAAGUCGGGACCUAAGCUGAGGCGUAAGCGUAGGCGAUGGACAACCGGUAGACAAUCCGGUACCACCAAAGACCGCAAAAGAGAAGCGGGGACGCAGCGAGAUAAGAGGAGCGUGCGGUUGGUAGAGCACGUCCAAGCAGCGACGAAAAGAGUAUGGAGGGAAGGCCCCAAACUCAUAAGAGCUGUGAUGGGGAGCCGGAAGGCGAAGCCUCAAAGGGGCUGCCAAGAAAAGCCGCUAUCGAGGUCAGAGGUGCCCGUACCGCAAACCGACACAGGUAGGCGAGGAGAGAAUCCAAAGACGAGCGGGAGAACCCUCAUUAAGGAACUCGGCAAAAUGACUCCGUAACUUAGGGAGAAGGAGUGCCGAAAGGCCGCAGAGAAGAGGCCCAAGCGACUGUUUACCAAAAACACAGGUUUCUGCUAAGUCGAAAGACGAAGUAUAGGAGCUGACGCCUGCCCGGUGCUGGAAGGUUAAGGGGAAGUGUUAUCUGAGAAGAGAAGCACAGAACUUAAGCCCCAGUAAACGGCGGCCGUAACUAUAACGGUCCUAAGGUAGCGAAAUUCCUUGUCGGGUAAGUUCCGACCCGCACGAAAGGCGUAACGACUUGGGCGCUGUCUUGAUGGGGGACCCGGUGAAAUUGUAGUACUCGUGAAGAUGCGAGUUACCCGCGACAGGACAGAAAGACCCCAUGGAGCUUUACUGCAGCUUGUCACUGGAUUUUAGUAAUUUCCGUACAGGAUAGGUGGGAGGCGGAGAAAGUAGGGCGCAAGCCUUACCGGAGCCGACGUUGGGAUACCACCCCGAGAUUACCGAAAUUCUAACAUAUAAGCCGUAAGCCGGCAUAUGGACACUGACAGGCGGGCAGUUUGACUGGGGCGGUCGCCUCCAAAAGAGUAACGGAGGCGCCCAAAGGUUACCUCAGCGCGGUUGGAAAUCGCGCGAGAGAGUGCAAAGGCAGAAGGUAGCCUAACUGUGAGUCCAACAAGACGAGCAGGGACGAAAGUCGGGCUUAGUGAUCCGGCGGUAGAGAAUGGGAUUGCCGUCGCUCAACGGAUAAAAGCUACCCUGGGGAUAACAGGCUGAUCUCCCCCAAGAGUCCACAUCGACGGGGAGGUUUGGCACCUCGAUGUCGGCUCAUCGCAUCCUGGGGCUGAAGUAGGUCCCAAGGGUUGGGCUGUUCGCCCAUUAAAGCGGUACGCGAGCUGGGUUCAGAACGUCGUGAGACAGUUCGGUCCCUAUCCGUCGCGGGCGCAGGAAAUUUGAGAGGAACAGUCCUUAGUACGAGAGGACCGGGAUUGACGAACCGAUGGUGUACCAGUUGCAUCGCCAGAUGCACAGCUGGGUAGCCAAGUUUGGAAGGGAUAAACGCUGAAAGCAUCUAAGCGUGAAACCCACCUCAAGAUAAGAUUUCCCACCUGAAAAGGAUAAGACACCUUGAAGAAGACGAGGUAGAUAGGCCGGAGGUGUAAGAGUAGAAAUACUUUCAGCUGACCGGUACUAAUAAGUCGAGGACUUGACCACAA
rnacentral:rRNA from 1 species